rnacentral:rRNA from 1 species
UACGUAGGUGGCAAGCGUUGUCCGGAAUUAUUGGGCGUAAAGCGCGCGCAGGCGGUCCUUUAAGUCUGAUGUGAAAGCCCACGGCUCAACCGUGGAGGGUCAUUGGAAACUGGGGGACUUGAGUACAGAAGAGAAGAGUGGAAUUCCACGUGUAGAGGUGAAAUUCGUAGAUAUCGGGAGGAACACCGGUGGCGAAGGCGGCGACCUGGGUCGACACUGACGCUGAGGCGCGAAAGCGUGGGGAGCAAACAGG